rnacentral:tRNA from 1 species
GGUUGUGGCUCAGUGGUAGACUGCUUGACCCUCACUUGUGGGGCACUGGGUUCAAUCCUCAGCACCA